UACGGAGGGAGCGAGCGUUGUCCGAAGUUACUGGGCGUAAAGCGCGCGUAGGCGGGUUGGUAAGUCCGCUGUGAAAGCCCGGAGCUCAACUCCGGAGGGUCGGUGGAUACUGCCAGUCUUGAAGGUGCUAGGGGGAGAUGGAAUUACCGGUGUAGCGGUGAAAUGCGUAGAUAUCGGUAGGAACACCAGUGGCGAAGGCGGUCUCCUGGGGCAUUCUUGACGCUGAGGCGCGAAAGCUGGGGGAGCGAACGGG
rnacentral:rRNA from 1 species